rnacentral:rRNA from 1 species
UACGUAGGGGGCAAGCGUUGUUCGGAAUUAUUGGGCGUCAAGGGCGCGUAGGCGGUGCGGUAAGUCUGAUGUGAAAUCUCCGGGCUCAACUCGGAGUCUGCAUCAGAAACUGCCGUGCUUGAGUGUGGGAGAGGUGAGUGGAAUUCCCGGUGUAGCGGUGAAAUGUGUAGAUAUCGGGAGGAACACCUGUGGCGAAAGCGGCUCACUGGACCACAACUGACGCUGAGGCGCGAAAGCUAGGGGAGCAAACAGG